UUAUAAACAACAGAUUUUGGUCGAAGUUGAUGAUUUCGGUCGAAGUUGGUUAGAAACAACAGAUUUUGGUUGAAGUUGGUUAGAAACAACAGAUUUUGGUCGAAGUUGAUGAUUUCGGUUGAAGUUGGUUAGAAACAACAUAUUUUGGUUGAAGUUGGUUAGAAACAACAGAUUUUGGUUGAAGUUGGUGAUUUUGGUCGAAGUUGGUUAGAAACAACAGAUUUUGGUUGAAGUUGGUUAGAAACAACAGAUUUUGGUUGAAGUUGAUGAUUUCGGUCGAAGUUGGUUAGAAACAACAGAUUUUGGUUGAAGUUGGUUAGAAACAACAGAUUUUGGUUGAAGUUGGUUAGAAACAACAGAUUUUGGUCGAAGUUGAUGAUUUCGGUUGAAGUUGGUUAGAAACAACAGAUUUUGGUUGAAGUUGGUUAGAAACAACAGAUUUUGGUUGAAGUUGGUUAGAAACAACAGAUUUUGGUUGAAGUUGGUUGGAAACAACAGAUUUCGGUUGAAGUUGGUUAGAAACAACAGAUUUCGGUUGAAGUUGGUUGGAAACAACAGAUUUCUGUCGAAGUUGAUGAUUUUGGUCAAAGUUGGUUAUAAACAACAGAUUUCGGUUGAAGUUGGUUGGAAACAACAGAUUUCGGUCGAAGUUGAUGAUUUUUUUCAAAGUUGGUUAUAAACAACAGAUUUCGGUUGAAGUUGGUUGGAAACAACAGAUUUCGGUCGAAGUUGAUGAUUUCGGUUGAAGUUGGUUAGAAACAACAGAUUUCGGUCGAAGUUGAUGAUUUUUUUCAAAGUUGGUUAUAAACAACAGAUUUCGGUCGAAGUUAGUUGGAAACAACAGAUUUCGGUUGAAGUUGAUGAUUUUGGUCGAAGUUAGUUGGAAACAACAGAUUUUGGUCGAAGUUGAUGAUUUCGGUUGAAUUUGGUAAGAAACAACAGAUUUUGGUUGAAGUUGGUUAGAAACAACAGAUUUUGGCCAAAGUUGAUGAUUUCGGUUGAAGUUGGUUAGAAACAACAGAUUUUGGUCGAAGUUGAUGAUUUCGGUUGAAUUUGGUAAGAAACAAC